GUUUUAUUUUUUGUGACUUUUGGGGACAUUUCCCAUUUCCAGCAUAUCUUUCAGGACAGUGCACUGAGCUGACUUGAUGCAGAGCGAUACAAAUCCCACACACUUGUACAGGACAUGUUUCCACUCCUAUGCCCCAUUGUUUUAAUCCUGCAGGAUCCUUCCCCAUGCUGAGGCAAGGGAAGGACCCUGCUGUGUGCAACUUCAUUUUGCACCCAUGUGAGCAUUGUGCUUGCUUUGAAGUAUGCAGGUUGCAGUCAGAUGGGGUCUGCUAUUUUGGGGUAGGUAUCACCACCAAAAGCAAAAUGAAUCUGUCACAAAACCACUUCUACAUCAGCAGCAAUUUUAAGCCUUCAUCUGCACAUCUUUCCUAGGAAUGAAGUUUCCUAUAUUCUGCACUGUUCAUUCCCUAAGGGGAAAAAUAUCUGCUUGGAGCAGGUCCACAGGGGAUUCAAAAAUUUCCCUGAGGAAUGCAUCCCUGAGCCAAAAGCAUCAGGUGCAGCUGAUCACAGUCAGUCUGGGGCUGCUGAGGGGCUGGGAAGGUUGAUGUGGGUUUUGGGCUAGAAGCUAUAAGCAGGCAGUCUGGAGGCUGAUAGUGCUGUCCAACCUGUACUCUUUUCUUGGAUAUGUGAUUUUUGCCAAGGCUUGCAGAGGGUGCUCAGGGGGCUGUGCUGAUUAAGUGGAAAUCACAGGUAACAAAUCUCAGUUGCAGAAGCGAAGUGUAUUGUUGAGUGGGGCCUGGAUGUAUGGGAACCUCCAACAUUUUAUAUCAUUUCUGUCUGCUUCAGAUGAAUAUGCUGAUACUGACCUUUAAAAGGCAAAAGAGAGCCAAGCUGGCUGGCUUUGCUUGCAGAGUUCUGCUGUUGCGUCUUGGUAGUCACAAGUGCAAAACACAAUCGGUGCUUAGGACCAGUGAUAAAACCCAAGGGAAUGGCACGAAGCUGUGACGAGGGGGCUGAGAUUGGAUAUCAGGAAAAGGUUCUUCACUAGAGGGAGGUGGACAUGGCACAGGUACCCCAGGGCAAGGGGCACAGCCCUGGGCUGCCAGAGUUCAAGAAGUGUAUGGAUAAUGCUCUCAGACAGAGGGUUUGGGUGGUUCUGUGUGGAGCCACAGGUUGGACUCAAUGAUCUUCAGGAGUCCCUUCCAACUUGGGACAUUUUAUGAUUCUUUGAACUUUGAUUUUUGAGACAUGGCAGUCGCAUAUAAAAAUUCUUUGGUCCUGGUGAGAGAGGCUGUGGUUCAGGGUGUUAUCUCCCCAUGGUUUGUUUCUAAUGCUGUGAUGUUUAUUAGGAAUUUCCAGGUGCCCUCUUGAGUUCUACUGGGAACCAUGGCACUAACUGGUGUCUGAGCUUACACAGAAAACCCAAUGCUGGAAUUUUAAGAAUGAGACUUGCUGAUACCAAAUAGUACAGAGACUUUAUAUCAUCUGUUAAUGCCAGAAAUUAAUUUGAUUUUCAUUUCCACACUGGAAGACGGUUAUAUCUAAACCUUCAGCCCAGCCUACCCUUGAUGAGCAAGCCCUGGUUCACACAGAACCAAAGUGGGAAGAUGAUCAUUUCCACUCUCUGUAGGCUUUGGUUGUCUGUAAUGAGACCUGAUGAGGCACAAGAACAACAUCAUUUCAUCUGUGUCUGAGUGCUUCAGCAGACACAACACUGAAUUGAUGACAAAAGUGUGUGGCAGCAGUUACUGCCUUGAGGGUUGUUUUGGGAGAAAACACAAAAAAAAUCAUUUAACUCCCUUCCUCACUGCUGUAAGUUAAUCGGAACAUGCUUUAUUCCCAACACAAUUAUAAAUUUAAAAAUGAAUACAGCUGAAAAGAGGGACUGGAUGGUGCACAGCACAGGCUGGAGCAGAGUUUACAAAAAGCUGCCUUUUAAAUCUUAUGCCUACAUUCUGUUUCUCUCUGGAACAAAAUACGAUACUUCCAGCCUACAAUAUGAAGUGAGUCAUAAUAUUGCCAUUCUGCUCCCAGCAUAAUUGAGCAUACCUAUGGUAUGAAGUGGGAGAAAUAUUUGGCCAAGAAGAAAGCUCCAGAAUUUUAUGUACUGUCAAGACGUGCUUAAUAAAUGGAGAGUAUUAUUUUCAUAUUGCGUAAUUCAGACUUUCCUCAUUCUGGGGUUGUUUCAGCAAAACAUGCAAGUGUGUGCUUAUCUUUAAUUAGUGUUUAAGCCAAGAUGGCUGUUAGCAUACUUAUGGGAAGGGACUUUUCAAAGGGCUGGGCUUCUAUACAUGCAUGGAGGCAAUCAUGUGCUUGAACCUGCAUCGGGGCUAAAGGAACUCUUGCAGGUAGAUGUGGAGGGUGGGUGUUAGUGGCAAAAAGCACAUAUAUUUGCCAUGAUAUGUGGUCAUUUAUUCUGUCCUGCUGCUGUUUUCAUAAGGACAGACUUCAGCGUCUCUGCUAUCAUCCAUGUGAGCAUGGACUCAGCUGGAAAAGCUUUAGGGCAGAGUAUGAAGCCCUCAUCCUGACAAUGACAAUGAGCACAUUGCCUUCAGCAGGCCAGAUUUCAUUCCCUGCAUGUGAAGAGACUCUGAGACAGAGAGGAGUAAUCAUGUUGUAUGUGGCUGGUUGUGAAAUAUUUUGGCAAAGGAAACAGAGCUUGAUCUUGAACUCUUCCAGGUGAAAAAUACAGUCAGGAGUGAUGUGAACACAAAAAGGCAAGUGAGGCAGCUUGUGGGUGAAGCUUUGGUCUACGACACCAACGAUGUAGCCUCGAUUCCUGCCCUCAGCUGUGUGACUUUCCCCAUGGCAGUGUUUCCCUUCAAAUUAAAUGGGAGCACUGAAAAAAAUUUGCUUUUAAAUGAAGCUGGAUGAACUCUCAUAUAUCACUGUGGUCAUACAAGAGACAAUCCACGGGUUGAACUUAAUGUUUAUUUAGUAUAGCUCACUCCUCUAUAUUAACUGCAGUUAUUAUUAUUAACUGCUGUGAUGCCUGCUGUCCACAGGGCUUUCAUGAUCAAGAAUAUAUGAAAUAACAGUUGUUCAUUUUAUUUUUAAGCAUUCAAUAGCAUGCAGUGAGUUGUUUAACAUUAGGCAGUGUGUGCUCUCAUAUGAAGUGUGUUUUUUGACCAAACAGCCCAAAAAUCUCUCUUGCCCUUCGUGAUGAGAGCUCACAGAAUCAGAGCACCAAUGAACAUUUGAACCCUCCAGAGUGUGAAGUAAUAAUGGCCAGCUGGUGUCAGUGAGCAAAUGGAUAAGAUAUGAGGAUUAAAUCUGAUUUAUACCACGCCACUGAGAACCUCUAAAAGACUGGUUUGGAUUGGUUUUCAGAGGAUUUCAGAACAAUCUCUGCCCUUUCUAAAAAUCAACAUUCCUCUGUUCUUUUUUCUAAAAAGCAGGAUCUUUGGACUUCCAGUUUAAGAAUAAAUUCUGGAAAACAGAUGGAUCUACUGCUGCUGAGAUCCUCUGGUAGAAUUAAGAAGAGAAAAUCAGUAGGACAUAUAUGCCUACAUAUAACUUGAAAUUCCUUUCCUUCUGUUAAAACGAUAAAUUGUUAUUGCUGUACUCAUGGGCAGCCUGCAUUCUCCGAGCAGACUCGUUGUUGUUGAACAGAGAGAUUGAGAAAGUCAGAUGUUUCCCAGGAAAUGAUGGUCAGCGAUGGACUGGUACUCAGGAAGCCAACGAUAAUGUGAUCUGGGUAUGGAAAAAAUGUUUGUCUUCUUGUAAACAUAGGAAAACAGUGAAGACAAAUUAUUUUUUAUAAUUUUCAGUGAAGAAAAAUUAAUAAUCAUAAUUAAUUAUGAUUGUUAUCCUAAGCUUAUGAUUCCCUUUGUAAUUCUUUAACAAAUUGAAACAAUAAUUUGAAGAAUAUCAGAGGAGUAUCCUUUCGAGCAGCUCACAUCAGCCAGUGUUCCUUAUAACAAACUGGCUUUCCUCCACAAUAAUGUUUCUUCAGAGUUUUUUUCCAGCCCUGUUCCUUUGGAUGUAUUGAUUUCCCAUAGGCUUGCAUCUUCCUACAGUAAGAUUUAUUUUUUUUUUUUGAAGUUGGCUACAUGUCUGGGAAAUACACACCCUUAUGUUCCAAGAGGGCAGAAGGAGGUAUUUCUAGAAAUAGCAAAAUGACAAACAAAUAGUGAGAAAUUUUGGUCUUGGCCACCUUACUAUAAACUCAGCCCAUAGGUCUUUUUUCAGAACUGAGGUUUCCCAUCUGUCAAUGGGUGGAUAUAAACUCCAGCGGAUGUUGAAGAGACAUCUGGAGUGUAUCCAUUGCACUUCCAGUGUCAGUGAGCAUCACCCAGUUACCAUAUAUUUUUUGCUGACCUAGGGGAAUUUGUGGUCUUCCCUCCAAAUGGGUAAUGGCAAAAAUUCUGAUGUGUCUAACAUCCUCUUCUGUGGCUAUUAGGAGUCUCUGAUACUGAGACCCCUGCUUAGUGCUUGUCCUCCCACAGCCAAACUUAAUGAGUGUCUUUUAUAAGCUAAUGGGUUGGGUGCUGAGGGAUGAGCUCUCUGCUGUGCUGCAGAGGAGACCCUGAUGUCAGUGACGGUGCCAUUAGCAAUGGGGGAACCAGAAAAGUUCAGCUUUCAACGAAGCUGAAUAAGUGGAUUUGAACCACACUGGAACAAAAAUGAGGACAGGAGAUUUUCCAAGGAACCCAAUGUGCUUCUUUUCAAAACCCAGCAACAGGAUUUGAAUGGGCUCUCAAGUUCCACAUGGUGCCUUCAAAAACUCCAGCAUAAGUUUUAAGGAAGAGAAAGAGAAGAUUUUCCAUCCUUCCACAUUCCAAAGCACCCAAACAAGGAGGAAAGUCUUCCAGGCAGUCACAUUUUUUCUACACCAGAAAUGACUCCAUUGUACAAAGCAAAUGCCAAGGCCCAGGUUUGUUCUGGUCUUUGCACGUAUUUUUCAAAUCAGUGUUUAUUUUGCCUGAUCUGCCCUGACUUUCUGGUUCCUGUUUCUGUUGUCUCCCAUUGUUGUUGGUGAACUUUGGCCCUUACCGGGAUUAUGGUGGAGUUGCCUUUGUUUGAGGAGGUACAUGGGAGAUUUUUCAGUGCUGUUGUGCUGUGAGAAAAGGAGGGGCAGCACUUUUGGCUUUUCCAUCCCAUUCAAUCCCUCUUAUCUCCUCCUGCCUCUCCUAUGGGCUGUAUUUCAUCAGCAGCCAUCCUGGCACUUGUGGUUGCCCCUUGCCCACUCUCCUAUAUUGAGGUGUGGAGCUGCCAUGACCCUGCCCCAUGCCAAAUGCCAUGUGUGUUCCCCUGCUGACCAAUCUCCUUCUCUUCUGUACCCACUAUUAAAAUAGAUGGAGGAAAAUUAAGCUCAUUUGCUACCACCUGUAAUUAGCAGGGGUUACAUCUCUGAGAUGGUGAAUGGCUUUAGGACUGUUGCCUUUGUUUAGCAGUGUGCAUCAGUGCAAAUGAUAUGGAGGAAAAUUCCAUAAAGUAGAAACUACAGACACUCUUUAACUGCUUCUGUAAAUUAAUAUAACAAAGCGAGCCAAGAAAAAAGUUCCCAAAUGUGACUUCUUUUUAAUCUGAUGUCUUUGACAAAAAUAAAUUUGGCCAUUAUUAUUAUAUGAACAUUUCCUUGCAUCUCCUGCAAAUAUAUAAGGUGAAAAUAGAUACUUGUUCUUGAGAAAAUAUCUAUUGUGUGUCAUAAAUCCCUUCAUUCUUAUUUCCUUGAAGCUUAGGAGUUUGCACAGAAAUACAUUAAGGAAAUUGUCUACUUCUUUCAUUUAUUUUAUUGAUCUAAUUACUGGCCUUAUGUUAUAUGCAAUACAUUCAUUCACUUCAAAGGUUUCCUGACUUAGAUGUGCUUGUACCCAGCUCUGUGAGUCUUCCAAAACCAGAUGAAGCCAGCACUUUGUGUGAGUAUAUCUAAUCUUAAAAAGGAUUUCUUCAGGAUCUAUUAUUUCCUCUCUAUUCAGUAUCAAAAUAUGUUUAGCACAAUUUCAUCAUACUGAGUAUCAUCAGACAAAAAAAAAAAAAGCUACAUAUGAUGGCAAUAGACAUAAAUAUUUACAACUAGUAAAAACUCUGGCUAAUUUUAGGUACCCACACCCACCACACUCACAGGGGAAUGAAGCCAGCCUCUUUCAGCUCUCUUAAGGAAACAAAUCUAUUUGGACUCUUGGUAAUGCCUUCUCAUUACUUCUAAUGGCUCUAUUUCUAUUCUUACCUAGCAGUUGGAACAUGUAAAAAAGGGCUGCCCAUAUAGGUAAGUUAAAUUCAGUGGUCCUCAGACAGCCCAAAUGAAUUUCUUCAGGUCAAAUGUAAUUUCGAGGAACAGGAUUUGGAGUCCUCUGCUGAGGAGGUCCUGAUGAGGACACACUGUUUUAUCUUCUGGCUGAUGGAUGAAUCUAUCUGAUAGCAGUGGCUUGGUUUGUUAUUAUGAGAGAUAAUAGAAAUUCAGCUAUAUGGAAGGAACCUGAAAACGUGACCCUACCAUAAGAGAGCUCAGAGGCUGGAAUAUAGGUUGUAUUUAAAGAUCAGAAUACAAGCAUACAAUGUGAUUUCCCUGUCUGUGAUGAUAUCCUUCUAAAUAAUUCAGAAUAUUUCAGAGGUCCUCUCCCAUACAUUUCCUGUGUAAUCUGUAUGCAGCAUCAACAGAAUGUGGCUACAGACAUCUUCAUCCACAGCCACUGCACAUCACAGUUGAAGUCCUUGACCUGGUAACGCAAACAUUGGGUAUCUGUCCCUCAAAGGUGCAGAAUACUGUCCCAUUUGAGGGAAGAUGUGCUUUGAAAACUUUUGAAAGCACUUUGGCUAACUUGUUUCUUCUGGAAAUGAAACUUUAUGUGGUCUUAUUAGUUACAGCAUGAAUUUACUAGACAGUAAUGUGAUAACAAAAGUCAUCAAAGGAGACAAGAAAAAUUGCCAACCUCUUCCUGCAACCAUUGCAUCUCUUCAUAUUGAGGAAGUGUAAAACCACACCUGAGCUUGUACUGUUUGAGGCAUUUUCCUUGGAAUGUUUUUCUUUGUUAUGCAGACUUUUCAUUUAGAGGAAGCGGGAGGAAAUCUGCCUUUAAAAAAUAAUGGCUACAAUACAAUUACUGUAAAAUGAAUAAUAAAAGUAACUAACUAGUACUGGCCAGGGGGAUGAUAAUUCAACUUUGCGACAACUUCUGAGGUUUUACAAUUUGUUUUCAUUUUACAAUGGAAUGAAAACAAGACCUUCACAUAUUAUGUAUUCAAUUUAGAUCUUUCUUGCUGCAUUGUCAGGAAUAACCAGGGUGCCCUGGACCUCAAGAAUUUGUCCUUCCAAGUAUUUAAAAAAUGCUUCAACACUGAUGAAUCAGCAUAUUCUUCUGGUGGGAUAGUUCAUUGUAAAUGCUUUGGCCCGAACUUUGCUAACCCUAGAAGUUCAAAAUGAUGUCUUAUGCCCUAAAACAUAUUACUUACAAAUAACUUCUUUUGUUUUUUAUGCAUUAUUUCCAGACUAUCUUCUCUAAACCUUUUCCCUUCAUCCUCUAUGGAUGUACAUCCAUUUUCCACACUUAUCCAGUUCUUUUCUCCUAUUUUCUUCAGCUUUUCUUGUUUCUCAUGCAGCUUCAGCACUUUUGACCUUCCGUAGCUUAUGCACAAGAAGCAGUGCUAAGAUAAUGUUUCACGGUAUGCUGUAGCAGAGGUUGGCUAGGAAAGAGGUGGCUGCUGGAUGGACUCUACAACAGAUAGUGGUCACUGCACGGCAGUCCCACAACCAUCCUGCAAAUCCCUGUCUGUCUGCUGUUUGGUUUUAAUUCUUCUCAGAUGGCAUUUUCCAUCAGGCAGAGCUGACAUCCGUGAGAAGGCAGAAACAUCUGCUCCCAUGCCCUGGCCGGCUGCCGCCCUCACCAGCUCAGCAGCACUUUAGGAAACCAGAAGAGCCACACGGUGGGAAGACCCUAUUCUUCGAGGAGAAAACAAGCAGCGUGGAAAAUAGAGAGGAAAUGCAUCAAUGCAUUUUGAAAGAUGGAAACAACAGCAGAAAGGAGAGCAAGAGGUGGAGUGACUUAACAUCGUGCAAAGUACGAGGAUGCUUCUGUAGAUGUCUUUGUACGAAUUGUUUCAUGUCAUAUCAUGAAUGUUAUCACCCAGGGACAAGAUUCCCUUGUGUUCUCAGGAAUUUCCACCCUACUGGGUGUAGUCUCAAAACACUAUUUUCCUUGCAAAAUUGUCUCACUCAUUUUUCAGUCUUUUCUAUUCAUACAUUUAAAUAGGAAGCAGGGGGAAAGAAACUCAGUUGGGAGCAACAUGUGGAGACAACACAAGUUAUUCCUGUUUCACCAUUUUCUUGGCAUUGAUUUCCUCUGUCAAACAAUACUUCAAAUUUGGGACCUCUGUGUUCGUACUCCCCGUUGCUUCUUACUUCCUUGGAAGCAUCAGGAAGGACUUAUGGUAUUGCUACAGCAGCUCUUACAGGAAAAGAAAUGAAUUGAGAAACACACUUCAAAUAAUGGAAGAAUGAAUUAUUUCACCAUUUUAGCCAUUUCCCAGGAGGGAGAGUAGAGGGAAGAAAAUGCAUUUAACACUCUAAAAUAUUAAAAUAACAGGAACCACAUCAACUUCACCCCUCUGGACUUCAACCAAACUGACUGAUUUAGGUAAAUUCCCAGUAGAUCCAAGUGGCAAACUCCAUCAGAGAAUAUUUCUAAGCAUGGCAAGGGAAUUUCUCUAUACUAAUGAUAUUAUGAACUGAAUCAGCUAAUUUGGAGUUCUUUGGACUUAGGCCUGGUUUCUGGCAGAGUAGCAGAAUAUUUUUGAAAUAUGAACUCCCCCUUCAGUAUAGAGACCGAUCCUGUUUUCGUGGACAGUAUUCAUGGAAAAUCACUUUUCUGAAGCUGUAUUUGAAAUGUAUUUUUUAAUGAGAGAUAUUAUUCCCUUGAACUUCUGGAAUAGGCUUUAAAUAUUCACAGCAGUAACUAACAGGCAAUGAAACAAAGGGGACUGUACUUGAUUUCUGAGAUUUACUGGUUACAUAUACAGAACAAAGCAAAACAGCACACUUUCUAAAUAUUUAAAUACAGCAUACAAAUACCAUCCUGAUUUUGUUCACGUUCUCACUGAAAAUUUUAAUGGCAGUUUUGCAGAAAGCAAAAUACAGGCUACACUGAAAAGAAAUUACAAGCAAUUCUAUAGCAUCCUUUGUGUUUUGACAUAGCAGUGAAGGUGUUUGGUAGUUCUAGCUAACUAAAAAGAUGCAAUUACAAAAUACCUGUUUGUGUAGGUGAAAGAUCUUGAACCCUCAUUGAAGUUGGUGUGCUCAAAUGGAGCCAUCUGGGAAGUGGGGUCAUGCAACCCAACCUGUCAAUAUCAGCAUUACUGUUUGAUUUGAGUGGAAAACAUGGAGCCAAGUAGGUUGCCCAGGGAGGUGGUAGAGUCUCCAUCCCUGAAGUUUUUCAAGAAAUGUGUAGAUGUCACCUUGACUGUCAUGGUUUAGUAGUAUGGUUGUGAUGGGUUAAUGGCUGGACUAGAGAAUCGUAGUGGUCUUUCCAACCUUAAUGAUCCAAUGAUUCUAAGCCAGAGGGCUUCACUUACUUCUACAAGCCAUUUCUUGAGCUGUAUAGCAAAAAAAUAGUCUCAGGAAGUGUAUCUUAAUAGAGAGAGUUUGUUCCACAGCUCAAUUUCCCCAGUGGAAAUGCCUCACCUUUUAAAUGAAAAAUCAGGUCUUUGUGUUUCUGCUGCUUGUUUCCACUGUGGUUCUGCUUAUAAGAAGCAUCUCAAGCAACUGGCCCCAAAAGUCAGGAAAGGACCUCAACUCUGUGCCUAAUUAUUGGAGAAAAGCACCCUGAGGUAAACCAGCCUGUCCUGAAACAGAACUGGGGAGACUGCUCAGAAACAGAAAAUGUCUGAGUUGGGAAGGGUUUAGCCUUUGAGGACAGAGCUGCUCAGAACAGCUGGAUGGCUGCCCGCUCUGGAACUGGAGCAUGGGACAGUUUAUAAACUUAAAGCAAAUUUUCCAACCUUAUGGGAUUUUCCUUAUGGUCUGUUCUCAGUGGAGAAGCAUUAUUAUUGUAAAUAGAUGCUCUUUUUGUCCCAUCUCCCAGGGGAGAAAAAAUAAUGUUAUGUUUGAAAAUGUAUGUUUUUCCCACUCAGUACUGAAGCAGUUCCUUUCCAUAAAGUCUGCAGAAACUGAGCUUUAGCAGAUACUGUUAAUAUCGUUACUUCAAAGUUCUGUCUAAAUGCCUUUGCCAAGGAGUCUUUAAUAAAAGACGUGGCCUCUGUCCUCUUAGAAUUGCAGGGGUUGGAAACUCAUUCUUGUGAGUCAUCUCGGGCGUCCUCCUGCAAUGUGACAGGGCCUUUCUGUCCAGCCCCUCUGCUUUUAACUCUUUCAGAUGCCUAACUGCUGGCUCCUGUCUCAUCACAGAGAUUGCUGUUUCUAUCAUAGACUUGUACACUGUCCCAAACCAGGAGCAAGGAUGCAGCACUGUGGUGCUCUUCCCCAUCCUGCUCCCAAACCACCCCUGUCCUGACUGUGCCUCCUGUGCCACUCUGUGGGAAUAUUUUUACAGCUGCCUCCCUCUCUCCUUUGGGAGUUUUCUUUUUUUUUCUUUUUUUUCCCUAGUGCUUCUCCUGUCAGUGAAUGAGUUUUCCAGGCUUCUCUUCCCUUGAGACUGGUCAGCACUUUAAAUAUUUAUGGAAUCAUUGCUGUGCCACUAACUGAGGUAGAAAGGUAACCCAUAUAACAAGGCAAUCACAUUGCUGAAUUUUUGGUGCACUGGACUCACAGUAAGUUUGAGAAAUUGCACCAACUGUAACGUGAUUCCUCAUGGUUCUCAUGUCUUCUUUCCUGGGAUAAGCAAUUUGUGGCUGUAGGGAUAGCUGAAGGCACCACUUGGUGCCACAUCCGCUGCAGAGUGCAGAUGGCCCUGUCUCAUAUGAUGACUCUCUUUGCCCUUGGUGAAAUCUGUUUAAGAGGAGGCUAUUGCUCGUGGUCACAAACUUACGAGUAUGUGUUCUACAGAGCAAGUAUUCAGGAAAAGCCAUCACUGCAUAAUGAGAUCUGCAUCCUUCUCAGCCAAAUGUGAUAGCAACCACAGAGCUGGACAGUAUUAUCAGAUCCUCCUUCAUGCUAUGCUCACCUGGCUGUGUCUCUGAGACUGUAGAGAUAUGAUGGAUAGUGCUUGGGAUUGCAAUGAAGUGCAGUGAUUCACUCAGUAUUGGGAGAGGUUUCCAGUCCACCUGGGUACAUGGGAAGGUCACUGGCUGAUUAAUAGUGCAUGAGCAUUUUAGCAUAUGUAGAAUUUGCACGUAAAGUUGUAUUCAGCCAAGGCUGCUGGUAGCAUGGCUUGUCUUGGGCGAAAGGCCUCUGAGUGUGAAUAACAAAUAACUGUGCACUAAAUUCACUUUUUAAAAAUUGAAUAUUUUAACUAUUAGAAAUUAUUUUAAACCCUAUUUUUCCAGAACUUAUUUUGGGAAAAAGGAGAAGUGAAUGGCCCUAAAAAGAUACAGUCUGGAGCUCAUCCUCAUCUCAGUGACAAAUUGUGAGGUCACAAUUUAUAAAUCUUUAAUUCCUCAGUAUCUUAUUCAGUAACUGGAAGACCCAUAUUUUGGGAUACAAGAAUUCUGAUGUCUGUCCAGAGGCUGGUGAGUUAUCACUCUAAAAAACAGACUAGAAAUAUAAUAACUUGGAUUUUUUCAUUGCAAAGAUAAAUAAUAAUUUGACGGGAGAUGUCAUUAUUGUUUAAUGGCUUUGUCUGAACAGAACAAUUGAAGGAAAUAUGUUUGCUCUUCCUCAUCCCUUGCCAUUUCCAUGAUGUCAUUGGGCUUGGCCCUAGCAACUGGAAAGUUAGAACAGAGGAAAGGACUACCUGCAGAGCAAAAUGUACACAACAAUGUAUGGUAGCAAUGACGAGCAUCGCUGGCACUGUCUCAAGGUUUAUGAAGAGAAGAGAAAAUAAGAUGGAAACUAAAGGCAUUUUGAGUUGGCUUAAUCAGUAAGUAAACCAUUUUAACUGUGACUCAUUUACUAAAGCACUGCCAUGUCCUGCAGAAAUGAAGAGGUUUGUACUUGUCUAGGAAUUUUGAUUGUGUAGACAUUCUUACUACGUUUUUGGUGGUUUUUUUCCCCUUCAUGUGGAGUAUCUGCUGUUGAAAAGCAUGUGCUUGGCUGUCCAUGGGUGCUUGCUAUGGCACCACCUUUAUGUGGUUUUGACCCCUGGGGAACAUAGUUGACCACAUGUACUGAAUAAACUAUUGCUUUCAACA